CCUACGGGAGGCAGCAGUGGGGAAUCUUGCGCAAUGGGCGAAAGCCUGACGCAGCAACGCCGCGUGCGGGAAGAAGGCUCUCGGGUUGUAAACCGCUUUCAGCAGGAACGAAAAUGACGGUACUUGCAGAAGAAGGUGCGGCCAACUACGUGCCAGCAGCCGCGGUGACACGUAGGCACCAAGCGUUGUCCGGAUUUAUUGGGCGUAAAGAGCUCGUAGGCGGUUCGGUAAGUCAGGUGUGAAAACUUUGGGCUCAACCCAAAGCCUGCAUCUGAUACUGCUGUGACUAGAGUUCGGUAGGGGAGCGGGGAAUUCCUAGUGUAGCGGUGAAAUGCGCAGAUAUUAGGAGGAACACCGGUGGCGAAGGCGCCGCUCUGGGCCGAAACUGACGCUGAGGAGCGAAAGCGUGGGUAGCAAACAGGAUUAGAUACCCUGGUAGUCCACGCCGUAAACGUUGGGCACUAGGUGUGGGUUUCAACCAACGAAAUCCGCGCCGUCGCUAACGCAUUAAGUGCCCCGCUGGGGAGUACGGCCGCAAGGUUAAACUCAAAUGAAUUGACGG
rnacentral:rRNA from 1 species